rnacentral:rRNA from 1 species
AGUGGCGGACGGGUGAGGAAUGCGUCGGAAUCUGCCCAGUUGUGGGGGAUAACUAGCCGAAAGGUUAGCUAAUACCGCAUACGACCGAGAGGUGAAAGCGGGGGACCGUAAGGCCUCGCGCGAUUGGAUGAGCCGACGCCGGAUUAGCUUGUUGGUAGGGUAAAGGCCUACCAAGGCGACGAUCCGUAGCUGGUCUGAGAGGAUGAUCAGCCACACUGGAACUGAGACACGGUCCAGACUCCUACGGGAGGCAGCAGUGGGGAAUAUUGGACAAUGGGCGCAAGCCUGAUCCAGCAAUGCCGCGUGUGUGAAGAAGGCCCUCGGGUUGUAAAGCACUUUUGUCCGGAACGAAAAGCGAUGGAUUAAUACUCUGUCGUGCUGACGGUACCGGGUGAAUAAGCACCGGCUAACUUCGUGCCAGCAGCCGCGGUAAUACGAAGGGUGCAAGCGUUAAUCGGAAUUACUGGGCGUAAAGCGUGCGUAGAUGGCUGAUUAAGUCGGAUGUGAAAGCCCCGGGCUCAACUUGGGAAUGGCAUCCGAUACUGGUUGGCUAGAGUGCGGUAGAGGAGAGCGGAAUUCCUGGUGUAGCGGUGAAAUGCGUAGAGAUCGGGAGGAACAUCUGUGGCGAAGGCGGCUCUCUGGACUAGCACUGACGUUGAGGCACGAAAGCGUGGGGAGCAAACAGGAUUAGAUAUCCUGGUAGUCCACGCCCUAAACGAUGUCGACUGGA